UCUGAAAAAUUUAGAUGAAAGGGGCUACUUUAAGGUUGAGAGUUUUUUUUUUCUACAGCUGAGUCUCUUAAUAUUAAUUCUUUGAAAGUGCGUAAGUACAUGUGGGCAACAUACCAAGAGUUUAGUCUGGGUGGAGGUAAAAAUGACAAUCCACAGAUUUCUGCAGUUCCUCUUGCCAGCAUAAAAGUCUGCCUCAUCAGUGCUUUGUUUCCCUUCUUUUUGUCUUUAGCUGAUAGCUGUCUCCUGUGUGCUUUGUCUAUUAACUCAAUGCAAGCAAUGUUUACUGAAAUGUCACGCCUAAUUGUGAGUGAUAAUGCUGUAAGCAUGAGAAAUGAAGAGUACAAAGGAGUUUUCUUUAACCUAGUUCAGCUGCUCAGAACAGUUUAAGAUGCAACCUACAUUUUGUGGGUUUGUACUAAGAUUAAAGGGCAUUUUUUCCUGUAGAUAAAUGCAUUUUUAUUCUGUUUUACUCUGCAGAGUAAUCACAGGCUGUGACAUAUUUGCUCAUGUCUGAAAGCAUUUUAGAAGAUACUUAUAUUAGUCUGGGAACAAGCUUUUUGAUAUUGAAAUGCAAAGAGUAUUUUUCACAAGAAGGAAUGCAUGAGAAGCCCAAACACUGCCAACCAAUUUCUGCUGAAGCCUCGUUACUACCCGGGGAUGUGUUUGUUCUCACUGCUUUACAUCCAGAUACCCUGGGCUCUGUGCUGCAUCUGGAGAGGAGUCUUUGUGAGUCACCUCCUGCUGGAAAGGUUAACAUCAUGCCUGGAGUGACUGCCAAACUUCCAUGAGGAAAACACCGAAGGAGGAGAUACCAGAGGUGACACGUACAGUCAGGACCUGCAGUGAGGUUCAUAUUUAUGUACUUAGGUCCUUGUGCCUCUGGUCCCUAUGGAUUUAUCGGUCUAGUCCCCAUUAUGUAUGCACCGGGUCCUGGUCAUGGCAGCAGGGCGGUGGUGCCCAGUGAGCGCGGUGACACAGGACAUCCAUCAUGGCACGGGGCUGCUGUGAGGCGCUGAGCAGGCGCCUGGCCCAGACCUCAUGGUGGAAGAAGGGCUGUGAGCCGGGGCGAUGAGGGACAGGAUCCCAAGGCGCUGGCUGCUCCUCUCCACAGUGCAUAACGCCGCUGUACAUCGAGAGCUUGUUAAAACUAAAUGAACCCCAGUAGAUUCAAAGCAUGUUGAAUGACAGCAGCUUCCGAUGCCAAUUGAGAGCCCACCCAGAGCUCCUCUGCAUUUUGCACCCUGUCUUCCUCGUGCUGCUGUCCCCACUACUGGCCAAGGACUUUCCUCUUGCUGCGCUGCUCUGGCACCACCUCAGCUGCUGCCUGGUGACUGCUCCGGGCAGCACAACCCUUUGGGCACUCCAGGAGAAUCAUCCCGGCAUCCUCUGUACUUUGUAUCAUCACCAAAAAGGCCCCUGAAUCGAACACGUUCAAGCCUUCAGCCAUUCCGGAGUCUCAAGCUCAAGUGCAUCCUUGUAACUGAAAGCCAGGGAUAAGAAGCUUGUGUUCUUGCAGAAGUCCCACGGCAGAACUGUGUUUCAGGACACCAAGAUCUGGGAAUACCAGGUCUCCAUACAAAUGUGGCAGCAGGAAUAAAAACUCAGGAUGGAAUACAAAAUGAAUGGAAGCAACCCCUAGGACAGGAUGAAGCUGAACUCCAUCCUGCUCUCCCCUCACCGAUACAUUCCUGUCCCCACAAGAUCAGAGUUCUUCACGGUCGGUAGGGUAUUCAUCUGCACAGACAGCUGAGAUAUUCAGUUACUCAUUUACAGAACUGAAGUCUAGGGGCAGGCAGGAAACACAGAACUGAGCAGAAGCCCGAGGUUCUGUAUGGGCAAGUGGCAAAUUCCAGAGAUAAACUGCACGAAGCACAAUAAUUCACGGGCAUGCCCCGUGCUCCUGUAUUUAUCUAUGUUGUCAGUUUUGCCUUCUAGGUCCAUCCUCCUGUUUGUAUCUUUCUUGCAGUGUUUCCCUUACACAGCUGCAGAAGCGUAUUUCUGCAUUACACAUCUGCCAGAGCUGACCAGUCCUUUGCCAAUGUCCAAAGGUCAUCACUGAAGCUGACAAAAGGAUCAUUACUUCCUUGUUUGUGCCCAGCAGCUGGAUAUGAGCAUUCAGCUUACAGACGGCUGUGAACCCUCCUUGCUGUCAGCCAAAAAUUCUGCAAGAGUUGAGGAGUGACCCACAAGCCAGAUUGCAGAGGAUCAAAGGUCGGAGCCUGAAGGAGUGAAGGUGACCUCACUAGGAGCUGCUCAGAUGUCAGGUGAAGUGCACGCCCCACAAACACCGAUAGCAUGUUGGUGCUGCAGCCAGAGGCACACAAAGAGAUGAAGACUGUGGAUCUGGAGAUACACACACACUUGCAGAAGAACUUGCUGGCCUGCACAUGCAUUGCUCCAGUCCUCAUGAGAAGUCCCUAUCUGACCUAGUAGCUGGACAAAAAUGUGCUUGGUUCUUAACCUGUAGUAUUAAGGCGGUAAUUCCAUAGCUCACGUUGCUCAUUAUAACUAAUGUAAUAAUCACAUAACGAAAUAUACAAAUAGAGAAUAAAACUCUCUUUUUAUCCUUAGACUAGAAUAUUGUGUUCUUUAUAAGCCAUUUAUACAUUUGUAUAAACAUGCUAUACGGAUAUUCAUUAAUGAAUGUUCUUUGCAAAUAUAACCCCUUCUUUCUGCAUGUAAUAAGUCAGCCUUGACUUCUGGAUAGUGUUUGCAUAAUUGGAAUAACCUUAUGUGCCAGACUCAGAAAUUGCUUAAGUCAAUGAGAAGCUGUAAGUCUUUCCACUGAGCUGAACAAGUUUAGGAUCAUGAUUUAUAUUCAUAUUUAAAUUCAGAUCUUUCUGCCUUUGUUUGUUUUGCAUAGCAAUUCUAUCAUAUUGAUCACUUGUGACUGAUCACAUAACUCAUACACUAUUAUUUCUUUCACUUGAUUUGAUACCUAUAAACUCUUUUGUAGUAAUGCUACCCUCGUCAAAUUUCCUGGGUGAGGAUGCCUAUAUUCAUAUUUGUAUACAUGCAUAUAAUAUACAUGUGUGGGGUGUAUGUAUAUAUUUAACAGCACAAACUCCAUUCUACACACACGGUUUCUGUGUGGGCAGAAAGAUUUAAUUCCCAGACAUUGGUGCCGGAGCAGGAGUAGCCUGGUGAUUAGCAGUCCCACACUGGCUCCCUUCCUAGCCAACACACGCUGCCUUUCACACAGCUGUGCGCUCAUCCUCGCGGGAACAGAGAUGCCUGCAGUGACCGACUGUGCAGAUCUCUCUGUUACUGAUUCUCAAAUGCUCUCUUUAUAACUCAGUGUUCUUAUAAAUAACUGUUUAUGCUUACUUUCAUGAGCUGCAGUUGACAGCAGUGGGACUCCUAUUUAAUUACAUUAUGGUUCUUAUUAAUACCAGAUGUGUUCAUCACAGCUUGAAGGCUUGCAGUGACUACCAAAGGAAUUACGCCUUAAGUGGAGUUUGACAUGUAAAUCUCAGAGUGCUGUUCUCCAGAGAUCCAUGUAAACCAACCAGCAUUUGUUUGCUCCUUCAAUUCUCGAAUUAAAGGCACCCUAAGCUGUAAGUGUAACUGUCGCUUAACUGGGCUUGUGUCUAAAGCACUCUGCUAAGGCUGGCUGCUCUUUGCAGCAGUCACAGUGAACAGAGCAAGCUGAAAGGUCCCAGAACCUCAGACUGAAUGUUGCUGAAGGAUAAAUCUGAAGGAGCAGCUGAUUUUGUAUCAGGGCCUCCCUGGGUGCGUUCUUCAAGAAGAGUCAGCAAUGGGGCACCAGAGCAAGCAGUGAAUGGUUGAUUAUACUGUGGUAUGCAAAGUGAAGAUCAGAAAAAAAGGCUGUUCCUGCAUGUGUUCUCAGUGGUAGGAAUUAAGACGGAAUAUCAGGGAGGAAUGCAAGACAGAAGGCUCUAGCAGAUAAGGACGGUGUACAGUAGCAGCUUCGCAGGAGUCAAAGGCAAUACGAGAAAGAGCAGCGUCUGGAUCUCAGGGUCAGUUGAUAUGUUUGCAGAUAAUACACGUUGCUCGUUGACUCUGUUUAAACAAGUUUCUCUCUUACAAACUGAUUUUUGCCAGUGAUGUAAUUGCUGGUUUAAUGAUUGCUUGCAACUGCGUAUAAAUCACUGUCUAAAGCAUUGUUUUCUUUUGUCUCCCUCAAAUAUCAAGCAUUAAUUCUGGAGUAAUAGGAUUGGCAAACUACAAUGUAUAUUAUUCUCGUCUGUAAAUGAAAAUAACUAUUAGUUAGUGUCCAACAGAGAUUAUCAGCUAGAUGUCUUAGCAGAAGCUCUAUUUUAUGCAGGCAGAAUUUAAAUAGGAUUGGGGUCAGCAGUAAUUUAGUCUGAUUAAGGAUGUGGUUUUUGGUUAUUGCUGAGCUGUAUACAGAUUUGAAAAGAACACAGGCAGAGAACUUGCGUGGAAGUAAAUGAGAAUAAAACUUAAUCCUUUUCUAUUUUCUUUAA